CCAAUAGCGUAUAUUAAAGUUGUUGCAGUUAAAAAGCUCGUAGUUGAAUUUCGGGGUUAGUACGCUGGUCAUGCCUUCGGUAUGUACUGGUGUUACCGAUUCCUACCUUCUGAAGAACCGUUAUGUCAUUAAUUUGGUGUGGCGGGGAAUCAGGACUGUUACUUUGAAAAAAUUAGAGUGUUUAAAGCAGGCUCGCGCUUGAAUACAUUAGCAUGGAAUAAUGAAAUAGGACGUUCGAUCCUAUUUUGUUGGUUUCUAGGAUUGACGUAAUGAUUAAUAGGGAUAGUUGGGGGCAUUAGUAUUCAAUUGUCAGAGGUGAAAUUCUUGGAUUUAUUGAAGACUAACUACUGCGAAAGCAUUUGCCAAGGAUGUUUUCAUUAAUCAAGAACGAAAGUUAGGGGAUCGAAGACGAUCAGAUACCGUCGUAGUCUUAACCAUAAACUAUGCCGACUAGGGAUCGGAUGAUGUUAUUUUUAAUGACUCAUUCGGCGCCUUACG
rnacentral:rRNA from 1 species